GUGGGGAAUCUUGCGCAAUGGGCGAAAGCCUGACGCAGCCAUGCCGCGUGAAUGAUGAAGGUCUUAGGAUUGUAAAAUUCUUUCACCGGGGACGAUAAUGACGGUACCCGGAGAAGAAGCUCCGGCUAACUUCGUGCCAGCAGCCGCGGUAAUACGAAGGGGGCUAGCGUUGCUCGGAAUUACUGGGCGUAAAGGGCGCGUAGGCGGCCAGCUUAGGCAGAGGCGAAAGCCCAGGGCUCAACCUUGGAAUUGCCUUUGAUACUGGCUGUCUUGAGUUUGGGAGAGGUGAGUGGAACUCCGAGUGUAGAGGUGAAAUUCGUAGAUAUUCGGAAGAACACCAGUGACGAAGGCGACUCACUGGCCCAAUACUGACGCUGAGGCGCGAAAGCGUGGGGAGCAAACAGGAUUAGAUACCCGGGUAGUCC
rnacentral:rRNA from 1 species